GGAGGGAAGGAGAGGUGGAGAGAAGGAAAGGUGGAGAGGUGCUGGGAAGGAGAGGUGGAGGGAAGGAGAGGUGGAGAGUUGGAGAGAAGGAGGGGUGGAGGGAAGGAGAGGUGGAGAGAAGGAGAGAUGGAGGGAAGGAGAGAAGGAGAGGUGGAGGGAAGGAGAGGUGGAGAGAAUGAGAGGUGUAGGGAAGGAGAGGUGGAGAGGUAGAGAGCUGGACAGGUGGAGAGGUGGAGAGAAGGAGAGGGGUGGAGAGGUGGAGAGGUGGAGGGAAGGAGAGGUGGAGAGAAUGAGAGGUGUAGGGAAGGAGAGGUGGAGAGGUAGAGAGCUGGACAGGUGGAGAGGUGGAGA
ensembl:lncRNA